ensembl:lncRNA
CCUCUGUUCCCAGUAAUUCCUGCUGAACAAAGCUCCAUACAAAAGUGCACCCCUUGAUAGCUCCAUCAGAUUUACAGCCUUCUUCUAGCAGAACCAGGCCAGGAUGGAGGAGCCCUGGGCAUUGCCUUGCUCAGCUCCCCCAGAGCUGCUGAGCACCUCCAAGCAAUCUAAGCAGCUGCUGAAGCCUGAGUUGCAUUUCCUAGGAAAUUCUAAGGACCCCGUGAGUCCACCUUACAUCCUGCAAGCAUGGAGGGAUGGCUCUUCAAGGACUAGACAGGAAGAAAAAGCAGCAAACAGGACUGCCAGCUAAGGUGAAAGACUUUGCCAAUGCCUCAAACAAAGCCAGGACACUUCAGACUGCCUCUUCUUAUGAAAUCUGGAAGACUGCAAUAUUCUUCAGGCCUCCGACUUACAGUCAGAUUUGAUUCAAAUCAACCUUUCCCAAACAAGAGUUGUAUCACAGGAGAGAAGCACUGGCACUGACCAGCAAAACAAAAGCGUGUAUUUUUACUUCCUCAAGAACUUUGGCUAAAGUAGGGAUGGUUCAACUCAUUUAGCAUCAGGUACAUUUAAACUAUGGGGAAAAAAAACCCUACUGCUUGCAGAAUUUCUCUCUCAUUUUGGCUACUUAUUCAAGCAUUGUGGCUUGUAGCUCAUUUGCCC